UACGUAGGGUGCAAGCGUUGUCCGGAAUUACUGGGCGUAAAGGGUUUGUAGGUGGCUUGCUAAGUCAGACGUGAAAUCCCUCAGCUUAACUGGGGAACUGCGUCUGAUACUGGCGAGCUUGAGUGCAGGAGAGGAACGCGGAAUUCCAGGUGUAGCGGUGAAAUGCGUAGAUAUCUGGAGGAACACCGGUGGCGAAGGCGGCGUUCUGGACUGUAACUGACACUGAGAAACGAAAGCCAGGGUAGCAAACGGG
rnacentral:rRNA from 1 species